rnacentral:rRNA from 1 species
UACGUAGGGUGCGAGCGUUGUCCGGAAUUAUUUGGCGUAAAGGGCUCGUAGGCGGUUUGUCGCGUCGGGAGUGAAAACCUCGGGCUUAACUCGGGGCUUGCUUUCGAUACGGGCAGACUAGAGGUAUGCAGGGGAGAACGGAAUUCCUGGUGUAGCGGUGAAAUGCGCAGAUAUCAGGAGGAACACCGGUGGCGAAGGCGGUUCUCUGGGCAUGAUCUGACGCUGAGGAGCGAAAGUGUGGGGAGCGAACAGG